AGAUUGAACGCUGGCGGCAUGCUUUACACAUGCAAGUCGUGCGGCAGCGCGGGGGCAACCCUGGCGGCGAGCGGCGAACGGGUGAGGAAUACAUCGGAACGUACCCCGGAGUGGGGGAUAACCCAGCGAAAGUUGGACUAAUACCGCAUAUGCUCUGAGGAGGAAAGCAGGGGACUUCGCAAGAGGCCUUGCGCUCUGGGAGCGGCCGAUGUCCGAUUAGCUAGUUGGUGGGGUAAUGGCUCACCAAGGCGACGAUCGGUAGCUGGUCUGAGAGGAUGAUCAGCCACACUGGGACUGAGACACGGCCAGACUACCGUACGGGAGGCAGCAGUGGGAAUUUUGGACAAUGGGGGCAACCGUGAUCCAGCCGUGCCGCGUAGGCGGGAAGAACGGCCGUUCGGUUGUAGCCGCGUUUAGGUCGGGAAGAAGGCGAGGCGUUAG
rnacentral:rRNA from 1 species